UUUCUGUGAUUAGAUUUGUC
rnacentral:snRNA from 1 species